GUGGGUAUGGUAUUAUAUUGUUUGGUUCAUCCACAAAUAGUUUUGGUGAUUUUUGUGCUAAUGAACUUGUUGAUUUAAUUUGGGGGUUGCAGGGGAAUCCCACUGAUUGGGUUAGCAUCAACUUUGUGAUUAUGAGAGGGGAGGUUUUUAAGGGUAGUUUAGUCUUUUUAUUUUUUUAUUUUUUAUUUUAACCGGUAAACCUGUUAUAACAGGUUAAGAGGGACAAUUUCUGAAACAAAAUUAAAGUUGGAUGAUAUUAUUGAAACAAAUUGAAAUCAAGGGACAUUAAUGAG
rnacentral:misc_RNA from 1 species